rnacentral:lncRNA from 1 species
GGACUGGAGAUGAAAUAAGAUUGGCCAUGAGUCAUUCAUUGUGCUGAGUGAUGGGUGGAUUUCUCUAUACUAGUCUGCCUACUUUUUGCAUAUUUUUGAAAUUUUCCAUGAGAAAAGUUAUUUUAUAAAUAUCUAUUACCUAUUCAUAGAAAAAAAUUAGAAGUAUAUACUCAAAAUGUAACAGUGGUGAUAGGUGAUUUUUAUUUUCUUCUUUGUGCUGCCCCACAGUUUCCACAUUUCUGCAAGUGUGUAUUAUUUUUAAAAUCAAGAAAGGUGUUUUUCUUGGGAAAGUGGCUACCGAUUAUUGGCCCAGCUGGAAAUGAGUAGGCUUAACGAGCAAAAACCAAGCCCUGGCUAGAGAAAUAUAAGUUAAUUAAAUUAAGGGUAGCUUCCCAGCAGAGAGAGAGAGAGAAACCAGGUAAAGGGAAGGCGAAAGUUUUAGCUUCUUCCUCUGCUAAGGAAACUUGAGCUGUGAGAAGAGGCUUUGUGACUUCCGCCUUCUGCCCCCGGAAUGUUGGGGGCAGUUGGGGUAAUAUUUGUCUGAGCCUGGUGAUGGUCCAGAGAAAGCUGCUCAAAGUCAUCAAGGAUCACAGAAGCAAUUCCAUGUGAUGAAAGAGGGAAAAGAUUCAGACUCUAGUGGGAACUUAGACACAGUAAGGGAUGGACUGAGAUUUGAGGGAAGAACAAGAAAUAAAGGCAUGGAGGAAAAGGCAAGGAAGACUGAGAAAGACGUGGUGAAAUUACCUUAAGAUUGCAAUAUUAGGAGACUUGGAAGAAACCUCCAUCCUCUGGGACUUGGAGAAGGCUGUGCUGGAAUCUGUGUGGAGGUUAAGAAAACUAUCCCUUUGGUUGUGGCCUGAGUUUAUUAUCUCAACCCCAAUGUUGCCCUGAAAUCUGUGUUCAAGAUUCAAGAAGAUUAGGACUGCUAAGGAGAUGACCUGUCCUGCCCUGUCUAUUUUGCUGAGCCAUGUGAGACUUAUCUAAGAAACGAUCAGAAGCACUUAUAUUUCAGCACCUUGGAGAGCUACCAGUGGAUGUGGGUGAUGUCGUUUUACGCAUCAGCCAUUUGGGGCUAUGGUUCCACUGAAAACGUUGACUGGACUGCUUGAAGCGUGGCUGUCUCUUCUGACUCGCUACAUCCAGCAACCAAAGAUGUGCCUUAAAAUAUUUAACAAUUUCUCUAUUGAUACAUAUCAUACUCAUUGUUUUUGUUCUUACAAUUAUUUCUUCACUAGUCAUCUGUGGAGAAAUAUUCUUCUGUUCUGGUGCUUUUAAACUCCUAAAUUUGAAAUACUAGAUUGGUUUGCUUAUGUGAGCAUCUUUAUAAAGUCAGGGCAAUAAUUAGUUUAUUCCAGGUUUUCUCUUAUGCCAUCACCCAUGAAUCUCCUGCAUCAUACCUAGCACCUCUGAAAGAAAUAUGAGCUUUUUCAAAAGAGAGUAAAGACAUGCAUUUGAUACAGUUUUGUAAUUUCUAUUCUGUCAUACUAAUCUCAGGCUCUUAAAAACAUUUUGUUAUGGGUAAAGGAGAAAAAAUUUCAAAGAAUUUCAGGAAAAAGAAUACCUUAAAAAUGUGUAUGCUGAAAAAAUUAAAGUGAGUAUGAACAAAUGAAUGUAAUAUGUCAAUAUUAAGAGUUCUACGGCCAAAAAAGCAUUAGCAUGAUUUGAAAACAGAUUGCAUGUCUCUUUAAACAAUGGCAUCUCUAAAAAUGGGAUGCUGUUAUAAAUAUACUUCUGUUAAUUGUCUUCAUGUCAGACUUAAUUUAAUCAUAAAAAAAUUUGAUUUGAUUUUAAUACUGUAGGAAACAUAUUUUGGUUUUAAGGAUUACCUAAAAAUCAAGUUGUAAUCUUUUUAAAAAGUAUAAAAUUACUAUAUCUUCACAAAUCAGCAAGGAGUAAUGCUAGCCAGGGCUUUUCUAAGCUAACCAUACAAUCUUUUUUUUCUCAUUUUUCUUUUGGCUUUCCUUCUAUUGAAUUUCUUCUACAGGGAAUUGAUGUUGGGUAACCUUGCAACAGAUUUUAAAUCCCUUUGACUUUUAAUUUACAUUGUAUUAUUUUUACACAAAAAUCGGGUCUUGUUUCUUUCUUUUUGCUUAGGUAAACAGUUAAAAAAGCUUUAACCCAGAGAUACUUCAUCUUUUGAAAUCUGCUAAAUUUUUAACUAGCUCAAAUUUUCUUAAUUAGGCAAGAUAUAAAUAAAUUUAUAAGUAAAGUUUUUAAUCUUUUGACCCGUACAUAUUGAGCUACAGAGCAUAACAGCUACUUUAAAAAUGUAAGAAUAAGUGAUUGUAUAUCUGUGUGUGUGUGUGAGAAUGUUUAUUAAUCAUUUCUUUGUUUAUUUUAUUUUAUUCAUUCAUCAUCAAAAUAAUAGCCAAAAAUCUUCCAAUGAUUAGCUUAAUGAAGGAAAAGUUCUGUUUAAUAAAAUUUUAACAUUAAUAACAGUGUUAGGAUUAUUAAAAUGGUGUUUUGAUAUUGUCAUUCAAGCAACAUAAAAGACAUUAUAUAAAUCACUCCAUGAAAAAAAAAAGAGACAAGAUGAGUCACAUUUCCUUUCAGGCUGGCCAGAAAGAACAUUGCCAUAGAUUUGCCAGCACCUGACUAUUUUAUAACAUGGCAACAGUAUAAUAGAUUUCAACCUCAUUAAGUUUUGAGCCUGGGAUGGAACAACAUUAUGGCCAAUGGUUUAUAUUUGGCAAAAUUUAAUUUGGCCAACUUCAAUUUCCUAAAUUGGGAUCUCACUGAGAUGGCUGUUGUUGCCUGAACUCUUUUUGGGUCUUAGUGAGGUUGGCCUGAGUCUUAUGUGAGAAAGGCCAGAGCCAUGAAUUGGAUCCCAUUCUUAUUCUAUCUCUUGGUCACAGCCCACAGUUCUUGUACAGCUAACCACAACCUCAUCUUUGCAAACUUCAGAACUCUGUCUACCAAUAGGUGAAAGAAUGUUUAGUCCCUAUUCUAAUGCGUAUUGUGUGUUCAUUCAUCCUGCCAAUAUGAGUAGUAAGUGUAUUAGCAUAUUUAUAUGGUUUUCAUGUUUAUCUCUGUUAGAUAAUAAAUUUCCUGAGAAAAAGAGCUUUGCCCUAUUUUUUCAGCUUU